rnacentral:rRNA from 1 species
UACGGGGGGAGCAAGCGUUGUUCGGAUUUACUGGGCGUAAAGGGCGCGUAGGCGGCCAGCACAAGUCAGUUGUGAAAUCUCCGAGCUUAACUCGGAAACUGCCGUGGAUACUAUCAAUCUUGAAUAUCGUGGAGGUAAGCGGAAUAUGUCAUGUAGCGGUGAAAUGCUUAGAUAUGACAUAGAACACCAAUUGCGUAGGCAGCUUACUACACGAUCAUUGACGCUGAGGCACGAAAGCGUGGGGAGCAAACAGG